CAACAGGGAUUGCCCUAGUAACGGCGAGUGAAGCGGCAACAGCUCAAAUUUGAAAUCUGGCCCCAGGCCCGAGUUGUAAUUUGCAGAGGAUGCUUUUGGCAAAGCGCAUACCGAGUCCCCUGGAACGGGGCGCCACAGAGGGUGAGAGCCCCGUAUGGUACGACGCCGAGCCUCUGUAAAGCUCCUUCGACGAGUCGAGUAGUUUGGGAAUGCUGCUCUAAAUGGGAGGUAAAUUUCUUCUAAAGCUAAAUACCGGCCAGAGACCGAUAGCGCACAAGUAGAGUGAUCGAAAGAUGAAAAGCACUUUGAAAAGAGGGUUAAAUAGCACGUGAAAUUGUUGAAAGGGAAGCGCUCGUGACCAGACUUGCGCCGGGCGGAUCAUCCAGCGUUCUCGCUGGUGCACUCCGCCCGGCUCAGGCCAGCAUCGGUUUUCGCCGGGGGACAAAAGCUUCGGGAACGUGGCUCCCUUCGGGGAGUGUUAUAGCCCGUCGUUUAAUACCCCGGCGGGGACCGAGGACCGCGCUUCGGCAAGGAUGCUGGCGUAAUGGUCAUCAGCGACCCGUCUUGAAACACGGACCGAGGAGUCAAGCAUUAGUGCGAGUGUUUGGGUGUAAAACCCGCACGCGUAAUGAAAGUGAACGUAGGUGAGAGCUUCGGCGCAUCAUCGACCGAUCCUGAUGUUUUCGGAUGGAUUUGAGUAGGAGCAUUAACGCUUGGACCCGAAAGAUGGUGAACUAUACUUGAAUAGGGUGAAGCCAGAGGAAACUCUGGUGGAGGCUCGCAGCGGGUUCUGACGUGCAAAUCGAUCGUCAAAUUUGAGUAUAGGGGCGAAAGACUAAUCGAACCCAUCUAGUAGCUGGUUACCGCC
rnacentral:rRNA from 1 species